rnacentral:rRNA from 1 species
CAAUGGGGGGAACCCUGAUGAGCCUGCCGCGUGUGUGAGAAGGCCUUUUGGUUGUAAAGCACUUUAAGCGAGGAGGAGGCUACCGAGAUUAAUACUCUUGGAUAGUGGACGUUACUCGCAGAAUAAGCACCGGCUAACUCUGUGCCAGCAGCCGCGGUAAUACAGAGGGUGCAAG